rnacentral:rRNA from 1 species
UACGUAGGGUGCAAGCGUUAAUCGGAAUUACUGGGCGUAAAGCGUGCGUAGACGGUUAUGUAAGUCGGGUGUGAAAGCCCCGGGCUCAACCUGGGAAUUGCAUUCGAGACUGCAUAGCUAGGGUGCGGAAGAGGGAAGCGGAAUUUCCGGUGUAGCGGUGAAAUGCGUAGAUAUCGGAAGGAACACCAGUGGCGAAAGCGGCUCCUGGUCCAGCACCGACGUCAGGCACGAAAGCGUGGG